AGAGGUCAGCUGCUCUGACGAUGUUGCACUACUGUACCAUCCUCUAAAGCAGUGCAAUAGUAUUGUCAUAGCAUCCGGCCUCCGU